UACGGAGGGUGCGAGCGUUGUCCGGAAUCACUGGGCGUAAAGGGCGCGUAGGCGGCAUGCCAAGCGUGUGGUGAAAGCCCGGGGCUCAACCCCGGGUCGGCCGUGCGGACUGGCGUGCUCGAGCACUGUAGGGGCGGGUGGAAUUCCGAGUGUAGAGGUGAAAUUCGUAGAUAUUCGGAAGAACACCAGUGGCGAAGGCGGCUCACUGGACCGGUAUUGACGCUGAGGUGCGAAAGCGUGGGGAGCAAACAGG
rnacentral:rRNA from 1 species